rnacentral:lncRNA from 1 species
GCUAUUGCAAAUAGUGCUGCAAUGAACAUUGGAGUACAUGUGUCUUUGCGAGUUGUGGUUUUCUCUGGAUAGAUGCCCAGGAGUGGGAUUGCUAGAUCAAUGGUAGUUCUAUGUUUAGUUUUCUGAGGAAUCUCCAUACUGCUUUCCACAGUGGUUGCACCAAUUUACAUUCCCACCAACAGUGUAAUAGGGUUCCUUUUUCUCCACACCAUCUCCCGCACUUAUUGUUUGUAGACUUUUGGAUGAUGGCCACUCUGGCUGGUGUAAGGUGGUACCGCAUAGUGGUUUUGAUUUGCAUUUCUCUAAUCAUGAGUGAUGUUGAACAUCUUUUCAUGUGUUUCUCGGCCAUCUGUAUGUCUUCUUUGGAGAACUGUCUGUUUAGAUCUUCUGCCCAUUUUUGGAUGGGGUUGUUUGUUUUUUUGGUAUGGAGCUGCAGGAGAUGUUUAUAAAUUUUGGAGAUUAAUCCCUUGUCAGUCGAUUCAUUUGCAAAGAUUUUCUCCCAUUCUGUGGGCUGUCUUUUCAUUUUGUUUAGGGUUUCCUUUGGUGUGCAGAAACUUUGAAGUUUGAUUAGGUCUCAUUUGUCUGUUUUUGUUUUUAUUGUCAAUACUCUGAUAGGUGGAUCUGAGAAGAUGUUGCUGUCGUUUAUGUCAGAGAGUGUUUGGCCUAUGUUUUCCUCUAAGAGUUUUAUAGUGUCUGGACUUAUAUGUAGGUCUUUAAUCCAUUUGGAGUUUAUUUUUGUGUAUGGUGUUAGGAAGUUUUCUAAUUUCAUUCUUUUAUAUGUGGCUGUCCAGUUUUCCCAGCACCACUUAUUGAACAAGCUGUCCUUUCUCCAUGGUAUAUUCUUGCCUCCUUUGUCAUAGAUUAGUUGGCUAUGGGUGCGUGGGUUUAAUUCUGGGCUUUCUAUGCUGUUCCAUGGAUCUAUAUUUCUGUCUUUGUGCCAGUACCAUACAGUUUUGAUGAUUGUUGCUUUGUAGUAUAGUCUUAAGUCUGGGAACCUGAUUCCUCCAGCUCCAUUUUUCUUUUUCAGGAUGUCUUUGGCUAUUCUGGGUCUUUUGUGCUUCCAAACAAACUUAAAAAUAUUUUGUUUGAGUUCUGUGAAAGAUGUCCUUGGUAAUUUGAUAGGGAUUGCAUUGAAUCUGUAUAUUGCCUUAGAUAGUAUAUUCAUUUUGAUACUAUUGACUCUUCCAAUCUAAGAGCAUGGUAUAUCUUUCCAUCUAUUUGUGUCAUCUUUGAUUUCUUUCAUCACCGUCUUCUAGUUUUCAGAGUACAGGUCUUUUGUCUCUUUAGGUAGGUUUACUCCUAGGUAUUUUAUUCUUUUGGAUGCAAUUGUAGACGGAUUGCUUGCUAAUUUCUCUCUCUGCUCUUUCAUUGUUAGUGUAUAGAAAUGCCAUCGAUUUCUUUUUUUUUUUAAUGAAUAUGUGUACUUUAUUUUUUUAUUUUAUUUUAUUUUUAUUAUUUUCCCACUGUACAGCAAGGGGGUCAGGUCAUCCUUAGAUGUAUACAUUGCAGUUACAGUUUUUUCCCCCACCCUUUCUUCUGUUGCGACAUGAGUAUCUAGACAUAGUUCUCAAUGCUAUUCAGCAGGAUCUCCUUAUAAAUCUAUUCUAGGUUGUGUCUGAUAAGCCCAAGCUCCCGAUCCCUCCCACUCCCUCCCCCUCCCAUCAGGCAACCACAAGUCUCUUCUCCAAGUCCAUGAUUUUCUUUUCUGAGGAGAUGUUCAUUUGUGCUGGAUAUUAGAUUCCAGUUAUAAGUGAUAUCAUAUGGUAUUUGUCUUUGUCGAUUUCUGUGUAUUCAUUUUGUAUCCUGCAACUUUGCCAAAUUCGAGGAUGAGCUCCAACAGUUUUCUGGUUUAGUCUUUAGGAUUCUCUAGGUAUAGUAUCUUGUCAUCUGCAAAUAGGGAUAGUUUUACUUCUUCCCUUACAAUUUGGAUUCCUUUUAUUUCUUCUUUGAUUGCCAUGGCUAGGACUUCCAAAACUAUGUUGAAGAGUAGUGGUGAGAGUGGACAUCCUUGUCUUAUUCCUGAUCUCAGUGGGAAUUCUUUCAGCUUUUCCCCAUUGAGAAUGAUGUUCGCUGUGGGUUUGUCAUAUAUGGUCUUUACCAUGUUGAGGUAGGUUCCUGCUAUGCCCACUUCCUGAAGGGUUUUUAUCAGAAAUGGGUGUUGGAUUUUGUCAAAGGCUUUUUCUGCGUCUAUUGAGAGGAUCAUAUGGUUUUUAUUCUUCAGUUUGUUCAUGUGGUGUAUCACACUGAUGGAUUUGCAGGUAUUGAAGAACACUUGCAUUCCUGGGAUAAAUCCCACUUGAUCGUGAUGUACAAUUCUUUUGAUGUAUUGCUGGAUUCGGUUUGCUAGUAUUUUGUUGAGGAUUUUUGCAUCAAUGUUCAUCAAUGAAAUUGGCCUGUAGUUUUCUUUUUUUGUGGUAUCUUUGUCUGGUUUUGGUAUCAGGGUGAUGGUGGCCUCAUAGAAUGAGUUUGGGAGUAUCCCUCCCUCUGCAAUUUUUUGAAAUAGUUUCAUAAGGAUAGGUGUUAGCUCUUCUCUAAAUGUUUGACAGAAUUCGCCUGUGGAGCCAUCUGGUCCUGGACUUUUGUUUGUUGGAAGUUUUUAAAUCACAGUUUCAAUUUCAUUUCUUGUGAUGGAUCCAUUCAAAUUUUCUGUUUCGUCUUGCUUUAGUCUUGGAAGAUUGUACGUUUCUAAGAAUUUGUCCAUUUCUUCUAGGUUUUCCAUUUUAUUGGCAUAUAGUUGCAUAUCAUAGUCUCUUAUGAUGCUUUGUAUUUCUGUGAUGUCUGUUGUUACUUCUCCUUUUUCAUUUCUAAUUUUAUUGAUUUGAGUUCUCUCGAUAAGUCUGGCUAAGGGUUUAUCAAUUUUGUUGAUGUUUUCAAAGAACAAGCUUUUCAUUUCAUUGAUCUUUCCUAUGGGUUUCUUUGUUUCUAUUUCAUUGAUUUCUGCUCUGAUCUUUAUUUCUUUCCUUCUACUAACCCUAGGUCUUGUCUGUUCUUCUCUCUUGAGCUGCUUUAGAUGUAGAGUUAGGUUGUUUGAGCUUUUUUCUUGUUUCCUGAGGUGGGCUUGUGUUGCUCUAAGCUUUCCUCUUAGAACGGCUUUUGCUGUAUCCCAUAGGUUUUGGAGUGUCAUAUCUUUGUUGUCAUUUGCUUCUAGGUAUUUUUUUAAUUUCCUCUUUGAGUUCUUCAGCUAUCCAUUGCUUGUUUAGUAGCAUGUUGUUGAGUCUCCAUGUGUUUGUGUUUUUUGCAGAUUUUCCUUGUUGUUGAUUUCCAGUCGUAUAGCAUUGUGGUCAGAAAAGAUGCUUCAUAUGAUUUCAAUUUUCUUAAAGUUACCAAGGUUGGAUUUGUAGCCCAGGAUGUAAUCAGUCUUAGAGAAUGUUCCAUGUGCACUUGUGAAGAAUGUGUAUUCUGUUGCUUUUGGAUGGAAAUAUCUAUGAAGUCCAUCUGGUUUAAUGUUUCAUUCAGGGACUGUGUUUCCUUGUUGAUUUUCUGUCUGGAUGAUCUGUCCAUUGCUGUAAGUGGGGUGUUAACAUCCCCCACUAUGAUUGUGUUAUUGUUGAUUUGUCCUUUUAAGGUUGUUAGCAGUUGCCUUAUAUGUUGUGGUGAACCUAUGUUGGGUGUGUAGAUAUUUAAAAUUGUUACAUCUUCUUCUUGGAUUGAUCCUUUGAUCAUUAUGUAAUGACCUUCUUUUUCCCUUAAGAUAUUCUUCAUUUUAAAGUCUAUUUUGUCUUUUAUGAGUAUUGCUACUCCAGCUUUCUUUUGAUCCCCGUUUGCAUGAAAUAUUUUCUUCCAUCUUCUCACUUUCAAUUUGUAUGUGUCCCUAGAAGUGAAGUGGGUCUGUUGUAGACAGCAUAUAUAUGGGUCUUGUUUUUGUAUCCAUUCAGCCAGUCUAUGUCUUUUGGUUGGUGCAUUUAGUCCAUUAACAUUUAAUGUAAUUAUUGAUAUGUAUGUUCUUAUUGCCAUUUUAUUAAUUGCUUUGGAUUUGUUUUUGUUGCUCUUUUUUCUUUCCUUCUUCUCUUGUUCUCUCCUCUUGUGGUUUGAUGACUAUCUUUAGUGUUGUAUUUGAGUUGAUUUUUCUUUGUGUAUAAAUUGUAGAUUUUUGGUUUGCAGUUAUUCUGAAGUUUUGAUAUGAGUCUAUAUGUAUAUGAGAUUGUUUUAAGUUGUUGUUCUCUUAAUUGCAAGUUCAUCUCCAGUGUCCUGAAUUUGUAUCCACCCCUUCUCAUGAUUUCUGAUUUUGGUGACAUAAUUGUGCAUGGAUGAUUUUGUAUCUUUACUGUAUAUAUACCUUUACUGGUGAGCCUUGUCAUUUGUGGAAUUUUUGUUUCCUGUUGCUGUCUUUUCUUUUCUGCCUAGAGAAGUUCCUUUAGUAUUUGUUGUAAGGCUGGUUUAGUGUUGCUGAAUUCUCUCAGCUUUUGCUUAUCUGUGAAGGUUUUGAUUUCUCCUUCCAAUCUGAAUGAGAGGCUUGCUGGGUAAAGUAAUGUUGGUUGGAGGUUUUUCUCUUUCAUCACGUUAAGUAUAUAUAUCAUGCCACUCCCUUCUGGCCUGCAGAGUUUCUGCUGAAAAAUCUGCUGAUAGCCUUAUUGGGGUUCUCUUGUAUGUUAUUUGUUUCUUUUUCCUAGCUGCUUUCAAUAUUUUCUAUUUGUCUUUAAUUUUGGUCAGUUUGAUUAAUAUGUGUCUUGGUGUAUUCCUCCUUGGGUUUAUUUUAUAUGGUACUCGUUGUGCUUCCUGGAUUUGAGUGAGUGGUUCCUUUCCCAUAUGAGGGAAGUUUUUGACUAUUAUCUCUUGGAAUAUUUUUUCCAUCCCUUUCUCUCUCUCUUCUCCUUCUGGCACCCCUAUAAUACGGAUGUUGUUGUGUUUAACAUUUUCCCAGAGUUCUCUGAGACUCUCUUCAUUUGUUUUCAAUCUUUUUUCUCUUUUCUGUUCUGCAUUCAUAAUUUCUUCUAUGUCCUCCACCUCGCUUAUUCGUUCUUCUGCCUCCUGUAUUCUGCUCUGAGCUGCUUCUAGUGAAUUUUUUAUUUCAGUUAUUGUAUUUUGCAUCUCUUCUUGUUUUAAGUUUUAUAUCUUGUAUCUGUCUGGUCAGUGUUUCCUGUAAGUUAUCCAUCUUUGCCUCCAGUUUAUUUCCAAUGUCUUGCAUCAUCUUUAGCAUCAACAGUCUAAAGUCUUUUUCCUGGAGGCUGAAAAUCUCCUCAUUGCUUAGCUGAUUUUCUGGGGUUUUUCCUUUCUCCCUCAUCUGAGUUACAGUUCUCUGUCUUUUCAUUUUUAUAGGUUUUUGGUAUGGUGACCCUUUACAGAUAGUAGAGUUGUAGGCUUUCUUACUUCUGGUGUCUUCCCACCUUGUGGCUGAAGUUGGUAUAGGGGCUUGUUGUGGGCUUCCUGAUGGGAGGGACUGAUGCCUGCCCACUGGUAGGUGGAGCUGAUUCUAAUCCCUCUGGUGGGCGGCUCGGAUCCCGCGUUGCUGUGGCUCUGGUGUAGGCUGGUGGCUACAGCUCCGAUUGGACCCCUAGCCUGGGAACCUCCAUAUGCCACGGGAAGUGGCCCUAGAAAAG